UCAUGUGACUGCAGAAACAGACAUGUUGGAACCCUCCCAGCAUGCACUGGGGCAGCAUGCAUGCAACUGGCCUGUUUCUGAACCGUUCUUCAUAGUACUUUACAUGAGUGGGCGUGUUGGAAAAAGAGAAAAAAAAAUGGCUGACAUUUAAUCCAUGCGUCAGGUGUUUGGAAGGAUUUAAUAAUGUCACUGCAGUGGACUGGGGGCUUUAUGACCCAUCUAGUAGACAAGGGCAAAAUGUUAUGUGGGCCGAAGACAAAUUACCCUUUUGUCAACAAAGUGUUGCCAGUUGGCAGCGUGCCAGGGAAUGCUGAUAUCAGCUGGUAGAUUGGGCCCUGCCAACAUGGCGAGGAGCAAAACGAGAAUGGAGGCAGACAGAGGGGAAGAAAGACACAGACGGAGAGAAACAUACAGUGCAGUUACAAACUG